GACGAACGCUGGCGGCGUGCUUAACACAUGCAAGUCGAACGAAGUGGCGAACGGGUGAGUAAUCCGUUGGUAACCUGCCCUCCUUUUUUGGUUAACCCAUGGAAACGGGGUCUAAUACCGAAUAAAGGGGGAUGGGCUCGGGGCCUAUCAGCUUGUUGGUGGGGUGAUGGCCUACCAAGGCGGUGACGGGUAGGCGGACUGAGAGGGUGACCGGAAACUGUGGGACUGAGAUGCUGCCAAGAGUCCUACUGGAGGGAGAAGUGGGGGAUGUGGCACAAUGCACGAAAGCCUGAUGCAGCGAUGCGAUGGGGGGGAUGAAGGCUUUCGGGUUGUAAACCUCUAUCGAUAUCGAACGGGUAGGUGGAGAAGAAGCGCCGGCUAACUACGUGCCAGCCGCCGCGGUAAUUC
rnacentral:rRNA from 1 species